AUGAGUCGACCUGAUGGGAUCAACAUCCCCGACGGCAAGUUCUACCUUGGAAAUGCUGGCUAUGCAUGUCAGCCGGGUAUUCUUCCACCCUUCAGGAAAACAAGGUACCAUCUCAACGAGUUCUCUGGUAGGAACUUUCCUAGGACUGCACAGGAGCUGUUUAAUCUCAGACACUCCAGCCUUAGAGUAACUGUUGAGAGGGCAUUUGGAGCUCUGAAGAAUAGGUUUAAGAUCCUGGAUCAGAAGCCAUUCCACCCAUACUCCACUCAAGUUAAGCUAGUUCUUGCGUGUUGCAUUCUGCAUAACUGGAUCCUCUAG
rnacentral:rRNA from 1 species